GAAACAUCUAAGUACCCGGAGGAAGAGAAAACAAUAGUGAUUCCCUGAGUAGUGGCGAGCGAAAAGGGAUUAGCCCAAACCUUGACUGUUACGGCAGUUGAGGGGUUGUAGGACUGAGACAUCUGAUAUAAACAGAACGAGAAUUAUCUGGGAAGGUAAGCCAAAGAGGGUGAGAGCCCCGUAUUGGUAAUGUUUAUUGAGGUAUCAGUAUCCUGAGUAGGGCGGAACAGGAGAAAUUCCGUCUGAACCAGCCGGCACCAUCCGGUAAGGCUAAAUACUCCUGAGAGA
rnacentral:rRNA from 1 species